rnacentral:rRNA from 1 species
UCCAGACUCCUACGGGAGGCAGCAGUGGGGGAUAUUGCACAAUGGGGGGAACCCUGAUGCAGCGACGCCGCGUGGGUGAAGGAGCGUUUCGGCGCGUAAAGCCCUAUCGGCAGGGAAGAAGGAGGACGGUACCUGACUAAGAAGCCCCGGCUAACUACGUGCCAGCAGCCGCGGUAAUACGUAGGGGGCAGGCGUUAUCCGGAUUUACUGGGUGUAAAGGGAGCGUAGACGGUGAAGCAAGUCUGAAGUGAAAGGCGGGGGCUCAACCCCCGGACUGCUUUGGAAACUGUUUGACUGGAGUGCAGGAGAGGUAAGUGGAAUUCCUAGUGUAGCGGUGAAAUGCGUAGAUAUUAGGAGGAACACCGGUGGCGAAGGCGGCCUGCUGGACUUCGACUGACGUUGAGGCCCGAAAGCGUGGGGAGCAAACAGGAUUAGAUACCCCCGUACA